CUGAAGAAGUCUUAAAGGCCCUCUCUUCUACCAAGAGGGAGUCUAUUUUCAUGUGUGCUGGACAUGGUUGUGCAACUGAAAGGUCAAGAACAUGAAGAUGAUAUUAGAGAAACCCUGCAGAAACUCGAAGAGUUGAAGAGAGACGCUUCCAAAAACGUGUUGUUUUCCACCACAAUCUGCAUCUCUGCUGGCAACAGCACAGAUCCAGUGAGACACUAUGGAGUCUCCAUGUCCACCACUGGUCGUCCUGCAGGCCAAAUCCUGGUUGCUGCAUCCUGCCUUAACUUCUGGGAGGAACAUGUAGCUGAUGCAGUGAUGAGCUACUAUCCUACAAAAAGUAGGAAGACAUACUUUGAUGGAACCAUCCAACUUCCUGCAGAUGUCAGAUGUGAAGCCUUUAACAUUGGAAGCAGAGAAGCAACAAGUCCCUGCCUUUCUUGUAAAAAUAUGUUUGGCUUGGAUACGACUGAGAAACAGGAGUGGCCUUAUGGCAACUGUGCCGAAGCUGAAAGUUUGAGUAACUUGCUUAGAGAGGAAGAAGUUAGAGAGCGAGUACAAAGAAAUGGAAACUGGACAGAAGAAAACCAGGGAAGGGCUAAACAUGCUGUUGAAAAUCAUUUUAGAAAUGAACUGAAGAAGAUUGGCUUUGAAUGGGACAAACAGUUCUACACUGCACAAAGAGCAAUAGCUGAAAAUGAUGGUGAGGAAGAACCUCUGCCAGAAUAGGCUUUUACAAGACGAAGAGCAGAUAUUAACAAUGACUCAACUGUAACGUCGCAAACAUCUGAGAGAUCUCAACAAUUGGGAACGGGAAAUCAUUUUUAAUCUUUUCUACAAAAUGCAAAGCUUAACAUAUUUUUGGGAAAAAAUAUUAUUGAGGUUAAAAAUUUAAUUUAUUGGGGGGGGCGCUGUAAGAUGUAGAGGUGUUGGACUGCGCGCUCGACCACAACGUUAAACAAAUAUCUAAAUGCCACGAUAAAAACAUCUAGGAGCCGGCGCUGUUGGCACUGUACCUCUGUCUAGCAACCGGACACCAUGUUGCCGUCGAAGAAAGCCACCAACUCCGGGAAAAAUAAGACCAUGGAUGGAUGCAUCAGCGGUGCUAAUGCUAACGAAGCUAAUGCCUUGCCGGUGGGACUGCAAACAAAACCGGGGACCGCGCUUCGGAUGACAAAACCCAAAAGCUUGUGAUGUGCCAGGAAAUAUGUAAAAAUAUGUCAGCCUCAAUUCUGGAGAAACUUGAGUGUUUCGACGCCCUUGAAGCUAGGCUCCAAUCUGUCCUAGCUGCACAGCCUGACUUGCAGAAUCGCAUGGUUGGUCAAGAGUUAGCAAUCAAUGCACACGAGGAGCGACUUCGGGAACUUGAAACUAAAUGUUCGGAGCUCACAAAGCUUAUAACCCAGCAGCAAACUAAGCUGCUGGACUUGGAGGCUCGUUCCCGAAGGCACAACCUCAAAAUUGUUGCCGUGAAAGAAAACUCAGAGGAGAGGAGGCCAACUGAGUUUGUCUCCAAGCUCAUUCCCGAAUUACUGGGCAAACAACAUUUCCCGCAUCCACUGAAGGUCGACCACGCACACCCCGCUCUCUGUGGCCCAAACCGGCGGCGGGUGAGAAACCGCGUACCAUCAUCGCCUGAAUACAUCACUUUCAGACGAAAGAGCAAAUUCUACGCCUUGCCAGGAUGCAGCCACUGGAAUACAUGGGGAACAAAGUUCUGAUUUUCCCUGACUACACCAGGGAAGUAAUGAGCCAGCACCUUCACUAACGGGUCUUUGGUCUAAAGUGUUUGAUUGGUACUCCAAGGCAUACAAGACUCCG